GACGAACGCUGGCGGCGUGCUUAACACAUGCAAGUCGAACGAGUGGCGAACGGGUGAGUAAUACGGGGGUAACCUGCCCUCUUUAUGGGAUAAGCCUUGGAAACGGGGUCUAAUACCGAAUAAAGGGGGAUGGGCUCGCGGCCGAUCGGCUUGUUGGUGGGGUGAUGGCGUCACAAGGCGGUGACGGGUAGCCGGCCUGAGAGGGUGAACGGGCACAGUGGGACUGCGAGAAGGCCCAGACGAGUACGGGGGGGAGCAGUGGGGGAUAUGGCACAAUGGGCGAAAGCCUGAUGCAGCGACGGUGCGUGGGGGAUGAAGGCUUUCGGGUUGUAAAGUUCGUGCGCUAUCGAAAGGGUAGGUGGAGAAGAAGCGCCGGCUAACUACGUGCCAGCAGCCGCGGUAAUAC
rnacentral:rRNA from 1 species